AUCAUCUACCCUGGAAAGAGUCCCUUUCCUGCCCAGACUCUUCCCUUUCCCAGAGAAGGCUGGUGGCCAACUUUAAUUUCAAAGGUAGAUUGGAAGUAUCAGACCACAGAAGCUCCCAUAUGGCAGAGUGGACUCAGAGUGGAGCAUCCAUGUGGACACUCAUGUAACCCAAUAAAGAGGUUCAUGAGGAGGGAAUUGAGGCUUCCUGGCAAUGGCCAUCACCAACUUGUGGACCAGUUGAACAGACUACUGUGAAAGUGGAUCCUCCAGUCCCAGGCAAGCCUUCGGGUGACUGUAGAUGGCUGACAUAGGGCCUGAGACCUCACGAGAAGCCCUGUGCUGCAAACAUCCAGCCAGGAGGGCCCCCGUCCAUAGUGAAGGAUCAGAAAUGUGUAUUGUGGUUUUAAGCCACAAUGUUUUGGACUAAUUGGUUAAGCAGCAGUAAAUAACUAAUAUUAUCCUUGGCUUCUAGGGUACAAGAGGCUACCACUUUGAGGGGCAGGCAUGGCCCCUUAUCCGAGGGUCUCUGAGCACACUGGGAAGAGGAAUGACUCCCCAUGCUCUUCUGGUCCCCAAGCCUUUUGCCCUUCUCCUUAUCUCUGUCUCCUCUGGCCCCUCCAGAGCCCUCUCCUGAACCCCACUUAUCCUCUUCUCCUUGCUCAGAGGCAGGUGAGAUCUGGUUGCCUCUGUCCCUGCUGCCCUCUAUCCUCACGUGCCCUGUUCCCUGGUGACCGAGCCUAUGUGACUUCCCUCUGGGUUGGUUGCUCAGUGAAAUAACCAGAGUUGAUUGGAUCUGACGGGGUUGAAAUGCAUUUCUGGGUACAGAGAGGCCCAGGAAGGACGCGUGGGCUGGGGGAAGACAGAGGGAACCAACAGGAGCCAAGCCUGGUAAGGGUGCGGGGUGGAGAUGGGCUGGUGCCCUGGGCCCUGGUGCUCUGCAUUCCAGCUCUCUCUGCUUCCAGGCUGUCCACCAGCAGGGUCAGGUCGCUUAUCUGGUGUGAAGAGCCUGUCUGACAGGUGAGGGAGGUGAGCACCCUCAGAAAUUGCAGAGCCCAUUCUCUGCCCAGCCUGGGUCCUUCCAUAGGGUUUAUGUCCAACCCCACUGCUAAAAUGAGAAUCCCACCAAGAAUUCUGACGCAGUCCCAUUCUGAGGCUUUCUCUGCCCACACCCAUGUCACCAACUGAAGGCAGCUGUAAGCAGAAUCAAAGGGCCUGGCUCUGAGGACAACUCCAUGUUCCACAUCAGCAACACCCUAACCAGUAGUGGGAAAUUCCCUCACAACAAGUCACCAACCCCUCCAGACUAAGCAGAGGUGUCCUGCACUAUGCCUGGCUGGAGCUGGUCCUCCACAAGAGUUGCUGACAUCUGGGUAUAUUGUGAAGAGAGGGAUUCCAGGAGGAGACCAGGGACAAGGUCAGGAGCCACCAGACAGGCUG
rnacentral:lncRNA from 1 species